AUAAAAUAUACUUAGCGCAGACUCAGAGAUAUACAUAAUAAUGGCUGUUACAAUAUACUUCCCACAUAAAUCUACAUGUAUUGGAACCUAUUUGCGGACCCUUUGCCGAUUUUAUUGUUUUAAAAAGUGCAAUUAAAAAAAGACAAAAUAACUUUUAUUCUUAUUCGUAUGCAUAAUAAAAAGAAGUAAUGCACAAGAGCUCGGAGAAAUCAACAAAAUAAAAAUAAAAUAAAAUUCCGCGAAAGUCUAUUAAUCUUUUUGGCGCAUUUAAGUCAUUUCAAAACAUGACGUCAUACAAAUGAAACCGCUAAAGUUGAAAGUUUUCUGUUACGU
rnacentral:lncRNA from 1 species